AGAGUUUGAUCAUGGCUCAGGAUGAACGCUAGCUACAGGCUUAACACAUGCAAGUCGAGGGGAAACGACAUCGAAAGCUUGCUUUUGAUGGGCGUCGACCGGCGCACGGGUGAGUAACGCGUAUCCAACCUGCCCACCACUUGGGGAUAACCUUGCGAAAGUAAGACUAAUACCCAAUGACGUCUCUAGAAGACAUCUGAAGGAGAUUAAAGAUUUAUCGGUGAUGGACCCCUGGGGAUGCGUCUGAUUAGCUUGUUGGCGGGGUAACGGCCACCAAGGCGACGAUCAGUAGGGGUUCUGAGAGGAAGGUCCCCCACAUUGGAACUGAGACACGGUCCAAACUCCUACGGGAGGCA
rnacentral:rRNA from 1 species